UGCAGGAAUGAUUAUUCACCGGAUGAUCUCAAGGAGAUUCAAUGUUAUCUCUGCAAGACAUUUGGCCAUUUGUGCUGUGUCAAUACUGCUGAUGCAAUACUGGGAGAAAUUUCUUGUUACAAAUGUGGUCAGAUGGGUCAUACUGGUUUGAUCAAUAAAAGUGUUCCGAUCUCAAAGACAAGCUCGAGUACCACGUACUAAAUCCAGCAACAUUACGUGGAUAAAAGUGCAGUGUCCUCUACAGCGCAACGGUAUCGAUUGCGGAUACUUUGUAAUGAGGUUUAUGAGGGAAAUCAUUAAUAUGAAUCAAAUAGAGAUUCCAAUCACGUACUUUGAUGAAUACAAGUGUGCUCAUUACACGAGACUGCAGUUGGAACAAAUCAAGGAGGAAUUGUGUCAAUAUUUUAUUGAGAAAAGAUUAAUUAGUAUAUAAUGGUUUCAAAAUAACAUGAAUACUUUGAUGAAGAAUGGUUUCUGGUUGGCAAGUGUAUAGUUCUUUAUAUUUUUAACAGAUUAGUUAUGACUCCAAAUAGGCCGUAUAACAUAUUAGUUUUGACUUGUGUAUAGUUCUUUAUAAUUUUAGUGAUAUCUUUAAUUUCAU